UACGAAGGGUGCAAGCGUUACUCGGAAUUACUGGGCGUAAAGCGUGCGUAGGUGGUGAGUUAAGUCUGCCGUGAAAGCCCCGGGCUCAACCUGGGAAUGGCGAUGGAUACUGGCUCGCUAGAGUGCGGUAGAGGAGAGUGGAAUUCCCGGUGUAGCAGUGAAAUGCGUAGAGAUCGGGAGGAACAUCAGUUGCGAAGGCGGCUCUCUGGACCAGCACUGACACUGAGGCACGAAAGCGUGGGGAGCAAACAGG
rnacentral:rRNA from 1 species